UAGGGAAUCUUCGGCAAUGGGGGCAACCCUGACCGAGCAACGCCGCGUGAGUGAAGAAGGUUUUCGGAUCGUAAAGCUCUGUUGUAAGAGAAGAACGUGUGUGAGAGUGGAAAGUUCACACAGUGACGGUAACUUACCAGAAAGGGACGGCUAACUACGUGCCAGCAGCCGCGGUAAUACGUAGGUCCCGAGCGUUGUCCGGAUUUAUUGGGCGUAAAGUGAGCGCAGGCGGUUUAAUAAGUCUGAAGUUAAAGGCAGUGGCUUAACCAUUGUUCGCUUUGGAAACUGUUAAACUUGAGUGCAGAAGGGGAGAGUGGAAUUCCAUGUGUAGCGGUGAAAUGCGUAGAUAUAUGGAGGAACACCGGUGGCGAAAGCGGCUCUCUGGUCUGUAACUGACGCUGAGGCUCGAAAGCGUGGGGAGCAAACAGG
rnacentral:rRNA from 1 species